rnacentral:rRNA from 1 species
UUAACAAAAACAUGUCUUUUUGAGUUAUUUUUAAAGUCUGACCUGCCCACUGAAAAUUUUAAAUGGCCGCAGUAUUCUAACUGUGCAAAGGUAGCAUAAUCAUUAGUCUUUUAAUUGAAGGCUGGUAUGAACGGUUGGACGAGGUAUAAGCUGUUUCAUAUAAAUUUAUAAUAGAAUUUUAUAUUUUAGUCAAAAAGCUAAAAUGAUGUUAAAAGACGAGAAGACCCUAUAAAUCUUUAUAUUUUUUAUUUUUUAAGUUUUUUGGAUUAGGUUUAUUUUUAUAAUAGAAAAUAUUUUGUUGGGGUGAUGUUAAAAUUUAAUGAACUUUUAAUAAUUUAAAAUCAUUAAUUUAUGAGUUAUUGAUCCAUUAUUAGUGAUUAUAAGAUUAAGUUACUUUAGGGAUAACAGCGUAAUUUUUUUGGAGAGUUCUUAUCGAUAAAAAAGUUUGCGACCUCGAUGUUGGAUUAAGAUAUAAUUUUAGGUGUAGCCGCUUAAAUGUUAAGUCUGUUCGACUUUUAAAUUCUUACGUGAUCUGAGUUC